CAGGACGAACGCUGGCGGCGUGCCUAAUACAUGCAAGUCGAACGGCUUUUCUAUGGAAGCUUGCUUCCACUGGGAAGAUAGUGGCGGACGGGUGAGUAACACGUGGGUAACCUGCCCAUAAGAGGGGGGAGUAACAUCCGGAAACGGGUGCUAAUACCGCAUAGUUUUCUUGAUCGCAUGGUCGAGAAAGGAAAGACGGCCUUUGUGCUGUCGCUUAUGGAUGGACCCGCGGCGUAUUAGUUAGUUGGUGAGGUAACGGCUCACCAAGACGAUGAUACGUAGCCGACCUGAGAGGGUGAUCGGCCACAUUGGGACUGAGACACGGCCCAAACUCCUACGGGAGGCAGCAGUAGGGAAUCUUCCGCAAUGGACGAAAGUCUGACGGAGCAACGCCGCGUGAGUGAAGAAAAGGUUUUCGGAUCGUAAAACUCUGUUGUCAGAGAAGAACAAGUCGGAGAGUAACUGCUCCGGCCUUGACGGUAUCUGACCAGAAAGCCACGGCUAACUACGUGCCAGCCGCAGC
rnacentral:rRNA from 1 species